UUGAAAAUAGAAUAAAUGUAAAUAAUGAGAAUUAAAAUCAGUAAACCUAUCACCAUUCACUUCCUUUCUUCUUUCACGCUCAAUCAUCCUUCUCUCUCUCACUUUCGAUCUCUUACCAUCUCGCCACUCUCGAUCGCUCUAUCUCACACCUCUCUCGCUCAUGUCAUCUCUCAAUCUCAACCUCAUUCACAAACUUUCACUCUACAUGCCAAAAAAACAAAAUGCUUUAAAGAGAUUCAAGCAGUAAAACUCACCUUCGGCGGUGGUCCGACGGUAAUGACGAUGCUUGGAUCUUCCUCCCGUCGCCGCUCAACUCUUCUAGCUCUAGGGUUUUCGCUCUCUGAAAACUUUAGGGUUUUUUUUUUGGCUGAUUGAAGUUAGGUUUUUCGUCGCCGCUCCUAAAAAACUCUCCUUUUUUUCUACAGCAUCCGCCUCUUUUUAUACCCAAUCAGUUAGGGUUUUCGAGCUAGCUAUGGAGAUUAAAAAGGGAAACCUCUUGGAAGUGCUUUUAGGUGCUCAGCUUUGCCUGUCUCGCUUGAUACUUAAAUCUGGAAACGUAAAAAUUGGUGAAAAGAAACACUUCGGUUAUUUGCAAAGCUCAACUAUUGCUACUACCAUGAACUUCUAGGUGUGAAGAAGUGCUAGCUAUCAAGGAUGAAAAUCAGUUCCGUUAUAAGCUAAUGUUAAUGUUAAGUCUCAUUACAUUGUCUUACUUAACUGUUAGUGCAGAAUUUCUUAUUAAUUGGAAAUUUUGUUCAACUAUGAGGAAUUAUUCUUACUGUUAUGCUUAUUAAUCUCUGCAGGUUAGUAGGUGUUGCCGGUUGAAUGUGUUGUUGCUAAUGUGUUUGGUGUUGGCUAUUGUGCCUGAAAUUGGGCUUGAAAUUGUUCAGGUUUUGGAUACUGAUUGGGUAAUAGGAUUGUGUAUAGAUGGAAUUAGAAAUGAUUGUAAUUUUGAACAUAUUUGUUUCAGGAAUGAAUAGGAAGUUUGCAGGUUAUUGGUUAGUUUGGGAAUUUCGGCUUGGAUGCGGCUACGAAGCGCAUUGGAUGGCGGGGCUGUUUUGGAAUUCUGCAAAGCUUCUUCAUGUUCCACGACUUCAAUAGAUGAAUUGAUCGAGCGACAAGCAGCAGCAGCGGAUUUAACUUUUAGCUGACCAAUAUAUGCUUCCGUGUGUAUAAUUUGUCUAUGCAUAUUAUUCAACUCAAACUUGUCAUGAUCAAGAACAUUGUAUCUAUGAAUCAUGUGAGGUUCUAAUCCAUUUGUAGCGUACCGUAAAGUUUUAAAAUGUCGGAGAUUAGCUUUAGUGCCUCAAAUUUGUAGUUUCCGUUUGUUUAUGGUUGUUUGUAAUUAGGUGCCUAGUAUAAUCCUUAAAUUUUUGUAACUGUAUAGCUUUAUAAUAGCUUUAUAAUAUGAAGCAUGAUUAAUCUA